rnacentral:rRNA from 1 species
AACGUAGGACACAAGCGUUAUCCGGAGUUACUGGGCGUAAAGGGCGUUUAGGCGGGUGAUUAAGUUCGCUAUGAAAGCGCCGGGCUAAACUCGGCGAGGCUGGCGGAUACUGGUCAUCUGGAGUGAGUCAGAGGAAGGUAGAAUUCCGCGUGUAGUGGUGAAAUGCGUAGAGAUGCGGAGGAAUACCAGUGGCGAAGGCGGCCUUCUGGGACUCAACUGACGCUGAAGCGCGAAAGCUAGGGGAGCAAACGGG